ensembl:rRNA 5S_rRNA 5S ribosomal RNA
AACCACAGCCAUAUCACCCUGUAACCUGAGACCGCUUACUCUCUGAAGCUAAGCAGGGCUGAGCCUGGUCAGUACCAGGAUGGGAGACCACUUGGAAAAACUAGGUUUCUGUUGGAA